GGGCACCUACGGGGCGCAGCAGUCGAGAAUCAUUCACAAUGGGGGAAACCCUGAUGGUGCGACGCCGCGUGGGGGAAUGAAGGUCUUCGGAUUGUAAACCCCUGUCAUGUGGGAGCAAAUUAAAAAGAUAGUACCACAAGAGGAAGAGACGGCUAACUCUGUGCCAGCAGCCGCGGUAAUACAGAGGUCUCAAGCGUUGUUCGGAAUCGCUGAGCGUAAAGCGUGCGUAGGCUGUUUCGUAAGUCGUGUGGGAAAGGCGCGGGCUCAACCCGCGGACAGCACAUGAUACUGCGAGACUAGAGUAA
rnacentral:rRNA from 1 species